UCGUAUUAAUCAUACACAAAACUGGCGCACGCGUACUGGCUUACAGAGGACACCUGACCCAAGAAGCGCUGGGAUCAGAAAAAAAAAAAAAAUAAAAAUACCGCUCCUAGGGCUGUGCACUGACACUGCUCCUGGCAAACAAGGAGGUUUGAAAGAUACUACAGAAAUGGAAACCAGAGUAUCUUUCAUAUGAUACUAAUAUAAUUUUUUGACUGAAUAAAAGGACAAGGAUCCCAUCAACCAACAGAAACAUAUGUUUCCUGGCACACAUAAGACAAAGAUAUGGAGUUAUUCCUCUUGGAAGAAUAUUGCAUCCCUACCUCUAAUGCCUGCAGGUUUGACACAGUUGUAAAUCCUGAUACAUGUACAUCUUCAACAUGACUGCAAUACUAACCAAAGAAAAGUAAACUGCAAUUGUAUGGAUGCUCCUAGAAUUUGGGACACACUUCUUACCCAGAGUCAUCUUUCUAUACUAUGCCUUGCUUUGUGUGGGAUGUAAGCAAGCUUGAUAAACUAAAUUCAGAUGCUCCAGAGGAGUAAGAUGAUAAUGCAAAGUUUUCCAUCUCAAACCAACAGGCCUGAUUUUCUUCUUUGUCUCAUUUUAUUCAGUCUUCCAGUAUAGUUUCACUGGCAUAGAAACAAAGCAAUGAAGUUGUGAUUCCAACCCAACGUGUGUAUAUGUAUAAAGAGCAGAUCUGACAAGAAAGAACACCUUCUGUUCCAGCCAGCUUGUUUUGACAGACAAUAACAGAACACAGAUCUGUCUCUAGUCAUCUGUAGAGCCUGUAGAGAUGCGUGCAACAUAACUCAUCUUUCUUACAUGUGGCGUCCCAUUAACUUCAGAGUAAGACAAGUAUGACUUACCUCCCUUGGCUGAAUUCUGCUUGUAUACUGCUCCUCUGAUUUGCACAACAGACUUCUUCAAGGUAAAAUAAAUAAAUAAAUAGAAGAAGUCUGUGGUAUUUCUAUAGAUUUUUUUCCAUGAAAGUUCAGACAAUGUCCAAAAAUGGAGGUCACUAAAAGAAUUCUUUAUGUGAAGAAAAUGAGAUGUGGCUUUUUGAUUAUUAUUUUUAAGGAGUGGUAAUUACUAAAUCUGUUAUUCUGAUAAACUUACGUGACAAAGAGUGAUUCAGUUUAUUUAAAAGACAAAGCCAUGAAGCUGUUGAAAUGCAUGUUUUCAUUUACCUUUAUCUUAUUUAUGCUGGUCUAAAUGCCAGUCCAAAGAACCCUAUGAGAAAAGCUAAACCAUGUCACAUAGGCUACCACAGUUGGGAGAGGUUUGACAAGUAAUCAUUAUUAACUGCUCCAUAGCAGCCUUGCAAGAGUCAGACAGAACAAGUGAAAGGCUGCAGCGAGCUGACCGAGGUGAAGAUCAAUGACACCAGCAGUUAUCAGAAAAGUUUCUGUCUUGGCUGACUGUGCUAGUCAAAGAUUAGCUUGUCCAAGGUUGGUUAUGAAACUGUUGACUUUUUCAAAUAUCCGAGGUAUUUUGAACAAAAGCAAAGUAGCAGUUAGAGCUCUGAACUGCAGAGACCUUUCCUCGAUAUUUUUGUUCUGGACUUCUCUGCUUUUCUGCCUAUGUAAUUACGCUAUGGCCAUCACAGUAAUGCCUUCAAACAUGUAAAGAACACUAUGAUAAUCAAAUUCUUGUGCCUACUUUUAUGUAUAUCGCAAUGAGUGUGUGUAUUUCAACCUGCAUGUAUUAUUUGGCCGAGUCACCUGUGCAAGCACAAGAUCAAAUUCUUUGGGGAACAAUGCAUUUCCAUUGCAAAGAAGUUAGUGAAUUCCAGGGACAUUGCUAUGAAAGGAAUGAACGUUUCACUUUUCACAAGACAGCUUGGCUUUUCUAGGAUGAUGUCAUUAAUUCCAAGAGCUCAGACUUACAUUUUUCAAGGCGCCUCUUUCUGCCAUUGAAACCCUUGCCGUAGUCCAACGUGUCUGCACAGUUCAUGAAGUAAUUAAUAUCUCUUGGUUUUAUUACUAUAGGGAAAAGAGCAUUAGUGGUUUGCACAUGGAUUCUAUUUCACGAGCUGAUCAUCAGGAACCCUCCUCUGUUUAAAAACAUCAUUGUGUCAUUUAACAUUACCUGUGCUAUAUUUUAUUUUUCUCUUUUAUGUAAAACUGGUGUUUCACUAGCAGUCUUUUGAGCAAAGAAUUACCUGCUUCAUGUAACGCUCUAUCUCCUUGAUCUUUUAAGAUUGCUUUACAUGUUCAACUAGAUUUGUGAGUUAUAAAGGGGUAUUCCAGAUGUUUUAAUAAAUUUCAAGGUGUAUAAAACAGAA